GCUCCUACUGAAUAAUGCCACCCUAAACGGACAAAAAAGACUUUCCCUGGAGAACAAAGAUAAGCCAGAGAUAGACGGAUAGAUAGAGGGGCAAGAGAGGACGAUCGCUUCAGAGACAAGGGCAGACGUCCACCCACACACUCGCCCAGACCGGAGGUCGUAAUGCAAAGGCUGAUGGGGCGUGAUCAGAGAGGAAAUGGGCAGGUUUAUGCUGAAUUAUAGAUGUGUCCCGUUAAACAGUCAUUGGGCUGCGGGAUAACAGCUCUAGGAUGUCAUUGUCAGGAAGCUGUAUUAGCAUUGCUCAAAGAGGCUUUGACCUGUGAGGUGUGAGAGUCGUGCAGGUAUGGGACAGACGUGGCCUGACCCCCAACAACAGGGCAGCGGGGACACAAUCUGCUCUGAGACCCACUCCUGUGCUCGUCGGUCAUGAUGCAACGGUCACUGAAUGAGAAGCUGCUCUGUGAAGAUGCCGCAGUGUCCCGGGGAGAGAUGGGAAGGAACAAAAGAAAGUUUGCAAAGAAAGGAAGAUGGGAGGAUCGAGAGACAAAAAGAGAAAAUGCACGAUCACUUUGUCAUCUAUUGAAGCUCAUGCAAACACUGCCGCCCUAA
ensembl:lncRNA